rnacentral:lncRNA from 1 species
GGGAUUCUGGUGUAGGUGUAGGAAAUCCAAGGGAUGGUAGUGAUUUAUGUUCCUCAGAGAAUGUAAGCAAUGAUGUUACUAGCUCUAAUUGUCAUCAACCACCACAAAAUAAUUGAUUGUGGUCAUUCGAUUGAUUGAAAAGUAGGGGCAGCAAUAGGCGCUUCUCGAUGUAUUUAUAAUUCUUUUACAUGCUAAUAUCUAUCAGAUGCAAUUUCUAUUUUUUGAACUACGGGAAGUUGAUUCAAUUUGUAGGUUUAUGGCUUAACUGUAUGCGUCAAAUGAAGUCUUAUUUCAUUUGUUCCUUUUGUGAGCUGUCUUGAUGAAUUCAGCUAUAGGGAUGACUCUCUCUGGUUUAAAUUUAUUUAAUAUGUACAACAAACAGAUUCUGCAGUUCAACCCUCUUAAUCUAUCUGAGCCGUUCAAAAUACAGGUUCUAGUCUGGUAUUGAACUAAAAAUGAUAUCUUUGGGUGUUUUUCUUCUGGUAGGUUCAUGUAGUCUCAGUGCAUCAUCCUGUGGCAGCAUUCUAAAUGUAUUAGUUUCUUCUUUGCUCCUUUCUUCUGGGUAUGUUCUCCUUAUUUCUUUUUAUUUGGUUGCAAUUUCUAUCAUUAAAGUUGCACGUCCAUGCUGAAGUUAGUGGCAUCAAUUCUGUGUUGCCAGGAAUUCUUUAAAACCUCAUAAGCUUCUCAGGCUUGUAUAUAUGUUUGUAACAUCUAGUCCAUUUGCUAGUAAUUGUUGGUUCACUGCCUGCCUGCUAAAUACAUUCAGGAUACUGACUCUGCUUAAGACAAUUAAAGAUAUUAAACCAAGAUUGUGAAAAAUGAUUUAUUCUUUAUCUUCACCUCCCUUGUUCAUUAAUCAUCUGUGGAAUACAACCUUUGAGUAUGGUUAGUCCAACAUUUUCAAGAAUCAACUGAAUUCCCAGGUUGUUUCUUUAAAGAUUGGGAAUUUUCUGUUCUCUCUCCCUCUCUCUCUCUUAUCAUGUGUAAUUGAGAAUUCUAUGAAAAAUGACACAGGUCGAAUCAUUGUUGCAAUAAAAGUCAUCAAUCAUAUACUUCAGCUAUUGUCCAUCCUUCAUUGGGGUCCACUCUGCUUCUGUUUAUGCAGUUUAGAUUCCUAAAGUGGGUUAUGUUUUCUUCUAUCUCACAAUAAUUGUCUAAAUUAUGGUUCAUUGGUGAAGUAAUCUCAUAAUGAUUCAACUUGGAUUCCUCCUAUGGAAGGUAUAUAUAGAAGGCCAUCCAGCUGAAGCAGUCACUGAAUGUCUUGGAGAGAAAAAAAAGGCUAGGAUGCUAGAUAAAGUUCUGAGGGGAGAGGAGCACCAUUUGACUAAUAUGAAACCACUAGCUCUUUGGACUUGUUCCUUUUGGGUUAACUUUCUUUUUUUUUUAUCUGUUGCCCCAGAAGUCUAGCUUUUAAUUUAUCAGUAAAACAGUAGGUAGGAAGGAAAAUGAACUAUUAGUUUCUAAUUUGCUCUUUUCAGCGAUGGUGAUCUGAUUUAGUCCCGGCAGAACCUUGUAUUCCAGCUCUAAUAUAUUAAUAUUCAUUUCGUUUAGAAUUUUUAUUAAUUCUGCUUGCUGUUAAUGAACAAAUCAAUGGGAUGUAAGCUAAAUACUGCCGAGAGCUAUCAGCUUCAUCUUUAUUUUUACCCAUGUGAGAUUAUUCAUUACAUUCAAGCAUCUGAAGGACCACUCUAAUGAGUUCUCCUCUUUCAUGCAUGUGGACUUCUGAAUGGAGAGGAGAAAAUCAGACAAUUCAGAGCUGCAAAAGGAGCAAAAAUGAUUAAACAGGUGGUUUCUUCAGUUUUUUUUUUUCCCUUCUUUUCUCUCCUUUCCCAAGUGCAUGUGAAUUUGGCAAUGCAGGUCUCCUAUCAGCAGCCCAGAUCCUGAAUACCUGUACCAAUCAAUGUGCACUUCAGAGGUCAGAGCCCUGACGCUAGAGUUGAAACUAAAUUUGCCCUCUUCGAAUGGACCACAGAUUCUUCCAAGGUCAGAAAUGGGAUGCUGUCAGCGUGCAGGGCUCCAUAUCUCUUCAUUCGCAAUUAAAAUUUGG